CCUACGGGAGGCAGCAGUGGGGAAUAUUGGGCAAUGGAGGAAACUCUGACCCAGCGACGCCGCGUGCGGGAUGAAGGCCUUCGGGUUGUAAACCGCUUUCAGUAGGGAAGAAGCGAAAGUGACGGUACCUACAGAAGAAGCACCGGCUAACUAUGUGCCAGCAGCCGCGGUAAUACAUAGGGUGCAAGCGUUGUCCGGAAUUAUUGGGCGUAAAGAGCUCGUAGGUGGUUCGUCACGUCGGAUGUGAAAAUCUGGGGCUCAACCCCAGACCUGCAUUCGAUACGGGCGAUCUAGAGUGUGGUAGGGGAGACUGGAAUUCCUGGUGUAGCGGUGGAAUGCGCAGAUAUCAGGAGGAACACCAAUGGCGAAGGCAGGUCUCUGGGCCAUUACUGACACUGAGGAGCGAAAGCGUGGGGAGCGAACAGGAUUAGAUACCCUGGUAGUCCACGCCGUAAACGGUGGGCACUAGUUGUGGGAACCUUCCACGGUUUCUGCGACGCNGCUACGCAUAAGUAGCCCGCCGUCGGGAGGUACGAGUCGCGAGAAGUUAAAACGUUAAAGGUAAAGUUAGUACGGUUCGUUGUAGAGUUGCCGACGGCGACGACGAGGGAGGAGG
rnacentral:rRNA from 1 species